rnacentral:rRNA from 1 species
UACGUAGGGGGCAAGCGUUGUCCGGAUUCAUUGGGCGUAAAGAGCGUGUAGGCGGCCAGUUAGGUCGGUUGUGAAAACUGGAGGCUCAACCUUCAGAGGUCGACCGUAACCAUCUGGCUAGAGUCCGGGAGAGGAGAGUGGAAUUCCUGGUGUAGCGGUGAAAUGCGCAGAUAUCAGGAAGAACACCCGUGGCGAAAGCGGCUCUCUGGAACGGUACUGACGCUGAGACGCGAAAGCGUGGGGAGCGAACAGG